CAAGCUGCAUCUGAUAUACAAGAACAAGGAGCAGUGGAUGAUCAGGAUACUCUUAUGCAUGGUGUUAGAGACCUUCUAAGCAUUCAUUCAAAUGCUCAAGCUGGAUUGUCAACAUACGUAUCAGCUCCAGGCAUUGUCCAGCAGAUUUCUGCUCUUCACUCUGACUUGAUGACCCUACAGGCUGAUCUUGAAAAUGCUCUUCCAGAAGACAGAAAUAGAUGCAUUAAUGAACUGUGCACACUUAUUCAGAGUUUACAGCAAUUACUAUUUGCAUCUUCAACGACUGCGCAGCCAAUAUUGACACCGCGUCCAUUAAUGGAGGAGCUUGAUGAAAUGGAAAAGAUAAAUGCAAAACUCUC
rnacentral:misc_RNA from 1 species